rnacentral:rRNA from 1 species
UUAAGCGACUAAGCGUACACGGUGGAUGCCCUGGCAGUCAGAGGCGAUGAAGGACGUGCUAAUCUGCGAAAAGCGUCGGUAAGGUGAUAUGAACCGUUAUAACCGGCGAUGUCCGAAUGGGGAAACCCAGUGCAAUUCGUUGCACUAUCGUUAACUGAAUACAUAGGUUAACGAGGCGAACCGGGGGAACUGAAACAUCUAAGUACCCCGAGGAAAAGAAAUCAACCGAGAUUCCCCCAGUAGCGGCGAGCGAACGGGGAGCAGCCCAGAGUCUGAAUCAGCUUGUGUGUUAGUGGAACGGUCUGGAAAGUCCGACGGUACAGGGUGAUAGUCCCGUACACCAAAAUGCACAGGUUGUGAACUCGAAGAGUAGGGCGGGACACGUGGUAUCCUGUCUGAAUAUGGGGGGACCAUCCUCCAAGGCUAAAUACUCCUGACUGACCGAUAGUGAACCAGUACCGUGAGGGAAAGGCGAAAAGAACCCCGGCGAGGGGAGUGAAAAAGAACCUGAAACCGUGUACGUACAAGCAGUGGGAGCACCUUCGGGUGUGACUGCGUACCUUUUGUAUAAUGGGUCAGCGACUUAUAUUCUGUAGCAAGGUUAACCGUAUAGGGGAGCCGCAGGGAAACCGAGUCUUAACUGGGCGUUAAGUUGCAGGGUAUAGACCCGAAACCCGGUGAUCUAGCCAUGGGCAGGUUGAAGGUUGGGUAACACUAACUGGAGGACCGAACCGACUAAUGUUGAAAAAUUAGCGGAUGACUUGUGGCUGGGGGUGAAAGGCCAAUCAAACCGGGAGAUAGCUGGUUCUCCCCGAAAGCUAUUUAGGUAGCGCCUCGUGAAUUCAUCUUCGGGGGUAGAGCACUGUUUCGGCUAGGGGGUCAUCCCGACUUACCAACCCGAUGCAAACUACGAAUACCGAAGAAUGUUAUCACGGGAGACACACGGCGGGUGCUAACGUCCGUCGUGAAGAGGGAAACAACCCAGACCGCCAGCUAAGGUCCCAAAGUCAUGGUUAAGUGGGAAACGAUGUGGGAAGGCACAGACAGCCAGGAUGUUGGCUUAGAAGCAGCCAUCAUUUAAAGAAAGCGUAAUAGCUCACUGGUCGAGUCGGCCUGCGCGGAAGAUGUAACGGGGCUAAACCAUGCACCGAAGCUGCGGCAGCGACACUAUGUGUUGUUGGGUAGGGGAGCGUUCUGUAAGCCUGCGAAGGUGACCUGUGAGGGUUGCUGGAGGUAUCAGAAGUGCGAAUGCUGACAUAAGUAACGAUAAAGCGGGUGAAAAGCCCGCUCGCCGGAAGACCAAGGGUUCCUGUCCAACGUUAAUCGGGGCAGGGUGAGUCGACCCCUAAGGCGAGGCCGAAAGGCGUAGUCGAUGGGAAACAGGUUAAUAUUCCUGUACUUGGUGUUACUGCGAAGGGGGGACGGAGAAGGCUAUGUUAGCCGGGCGACGGUUGUCCCGGUUUAAGCAUGUAGGCUGAUUGUCCAGGCAAAUCCGGAUAAUCAAGGCUGAGGUGUGAUGACGAGGCACUACGGUGCUGAAGUAACAAAUGCCCUGCUUCCAGGAAAAGCCUCUAAGCAUCAGGUAACAUUAAAUCGUACCCCAAACCGACACAGGUGGUCAGGUAGAGAAUACCAAGGCGCUUGAGAGAACUCGGGUGAAGGAACUAGGCAAAAUGGUGCCGUAACUUCGGGAGAAGGCACGCUGGUGUGUAGGUGAAGCCCCUGCGGGUGGAGCUGAGACCAGUCGAAGAUACCAGCUGGCUGCAACUGUUUAUUAAAAACACAGCACUGUGCAAACACGAAAGUGGACGUAUACGGUGUGACGCCUGCCCGGUGCCGGAAGGUUAAUUGAUGGGGUUAUCCGUAAGGAGAAGCUCUUGAUCGAAGCCCCGGUAAACGGCGGCCGUAACUAUAACGGUCCUAAGGUAGCGAAAUUCCUUGUCGGGUAAGUUCCGACCUGCACGAAUGGCGUAAUGAUGGCCAGGCUGUCUCCACCCGAGACUCAGUGAAAUUGAACUCGCUGUGAAGAUGCAGUGUACCCGCGGCAAGACGGAAAGACCCCGUGAACCUUUACUAUAGCUUGACACUGAACAUUGAGCCUUGAUGUGUAGGAUAGGUGGGAGGCUUUGAAGCGUGGACGCCAGUCUGCGUGGAGCCAACCUUGAAAUACCACCCUUUAAUGUUUGAUGUUCUAACGUUGGCCCCUUACCGGGGUUGCGGACAGUGUCUGGUGGGUAGUUUGACUGGGGCGGUCUCCUCCCAAAGCGUAACGGAGGAGCACGAAGGUUAGCUAAUCCUGGUCGGACAUCAGGAGGUUAGUGCAAUGGCAUAAGCUAGCUUGACUGCGAGCGUGACGGCGCGAGCAGGUGCGAAAGCAGGUCAUAGUGAUCCGGUGGUUCUGAAUGGAAGGGCCAUCGCUCAACGGAUAAAAGGUACUCCGGGGAUAACAGGCUGAUACCGCCCAAGAGUUCAUAUCGACGGCGGUGUUUGGCACCUCGAUGUCGGCUCAUCACAUCCUGGGGCUGAAGUAGGUCCCAAGGGUAUGGCUGUUCGCCAUUUAAAGUGGUACGCGAGCUGGGUUUAGAACGUCGUGAGACAGUUCGGUCCCUAUCUGCCGUGGGCGCUGGAGAAUUGAGGGGGGCUGCUCCUAGUACGAGAGGACCGGAGUGGACGCAUCACUGGUGUUCGGGUUGUCAUGCCAAUGGCACUGCCCGGUAGCUAAAUGCGGAAGAGAUAAGUGCUGAAAGCAUCUAAGCACGAAACUUGCCCCGAGAUGAGUUCUCCCUGAGACUUUAAGUCUCCUGAAGGAACGUUAAAGACGAUGACGUUGAUAGGCCGGGUGUGUAAGCGCAGCGAUGCGUUGAGCUAACCGGUACUAAUGAACCGUGAGGCUUAACCUU